rnacentral:misc_RNA from 1 species
AACGACGACGACGAUGACGAUGAUAACGACGCGUGCACGUCGUUGAGCGAGGAGCGCCGCCGGAGCGCGCGGGGAGACGACAGCACGGGGGGUGGAUAAUAGGAAUUUACUGAAAAUCCAAGAUCAAAGCCAUUCAAAACGCUGGAGAAAGACGGAGGAGCUUCGGAGGAGGGGGAGAUGUCUGCUGGCACCCAGGGCGAGAUUCGGGUUGGCCCUUCUCAUCAGGAGUUGGUUUCUUGUCAGGCCCGUUUGCCUGAGUAUCGGCCGGGUAUACCCCCCGGAGAGCUGCCACCCGAUCCAGAAUUCUCUAAGGAGCGCGAGGAACUAAAAUGGGUACCGGCCAUGGCGCUCGACGGGGAUCUGCUCAUGUACUUGAGGGCGGCGCGUUCGAUGGCCGCGUUCGCCGGCAUGUGUGACGGCGGUUCCCCGGAUGAUGGUUGCGUGGCCGCCUCCCGAGACGACACUACCAUCAACGCGCUGGACAUCCUUCACAAUUCUGGCUAUGAUCCCGGUAGGGCGCUCCAGGCACUCGUCAAAUGUCCCAUACCGAAAAGCGUCGACAAGAAGUGGUCCGAGGACGAAACUAAGCGAUUCGUCAAGGGCCUGCGGCAGUUUGGAAAGAAUUUCGCGCGUAUUAGGAAGGACCUUCUGCCUCACAAAGACACGCCGGAGCUUGUCGAGUUCUAUUACUUAUGGAAAAAGACCCCAGGCGCAAAUAACAAUCGGCCGCACCGGCGACGCAGGCAGAGCUCACUACGGCGUAUCCGCAAUACGCGCAACUCACGUGCCGGCACUCCGAAGGAAGACGUGCCAACGCCGACUAAGGACGCGCAGCCGACGGCCAACAUUAGCGCGAAGGAGGCCGCAUCCGAGGCCGAGACCGUGCCGGUCGGUACCCCGGCCAGCCAUAAUCCCGGCGGCGAGAUCAGUUCCGUGACCGAGGACGACAAUUCGGAAGAGGACAGUGACUCGCGCGACACCAACACGAACGGCGCCGCGCACUCGUGCCAGCACUGCUUCUCUACCAGCUCGAAGGACUAUCAGGUUGCCGGUAAGGAUCGAUUGUUACUUUGCGCGGAAUGUCGAUCGCAUUUGAAGAAGACCGGCGAGCUGCCACCCGCGCCGCCUUAUCUAUUCCGCCCGGUGCCGGCGGAAUCGCCUGAAAGCCCCGGUAGAAUGCGCACGCGGAACAAAGCUAAGGAGACACCGAGGCCAGCGAGACCGCGACGAACCGGUGGCACCGAUACGCCUGAUCAGGAGAAGCAGCAGCAGCAACAGACGCCCGACAAGAGCAAAAAGAAGUCGUCCGGCAAAGCUGAUACGCCCAAGAAGGGCCAGAAGCGCUCCGGUCAGGUGGACGACGCCUGCAACGACGAAGACAAAGAUUUGCAGAAGCGAAAACGCGGCGGCGGCGAACGGCCCGAAAGUCCGUCCGAAUCUCUCACUACCGAUAGCAACUCCCUGAUGGAUGAGCCGGAGAGGGAAACGGAGGGCGACGCAAACGAGAAUCAACCGACGCCGCCGACUGUUGCCGGUGUGGCCGGCGUGGAGGAGCCCGUGAGUAGUCCGGCUGUCACGACGCCCGAGGAGCCAUCCGAGCCGACGCCAGCGUCUACACCAGUGCCGGCUGUGUUACAGAGCCUGCCGAUAUCCGUGCCAGUGAUACACAGCUUGGAGAAGAAACCGCCCGGUCUGUUGGAUCAGGAAUCAGUGGAAAGUAAGAUGAUGGACCAGGUGGAGGAUGUGCCGUUAGCGAUGAAUCAAUCGUUGGAACCGAUGCCGAUCGAGGCGACGAUGUCGCCAACGAUGUCCAACGAGGAAUUGGGCAAGGAACCCGAGCCGACGCAGUUGAAUCUGAGCACGUCCACGCAGCAGGUUGGAGGAGGUCCAGGAGCGGAUGCCGGUUCCGCAGUUACGGCACGUAACUUAUCGCAAACUAUACCUGGUAUUAUAACGAGCGUAGGCUCACAGGCGAAUAUGCCAAACUCGCAAAUCCCAGUGAUAUCACCCAGUCAACAGAGUGGCGCCGGCGUUGGUGGUUUGCCGACGAGUCUAAGUAUGCAAUACGUACCGCAAGCACCACCGCCGUCGUUACAGCCGGUGCAGAACGUGCCGCAGAAUCUGUCGCAGAACAUACCGCCGCAGAUGACGCCGAACAACGUUCCACCCAGCGCGCAGAAUAUGGGACCAACGAAUCUUCGCACUCACGUGACCGAAAGUUUGCAGAGCUCCGCGCAAACGUUGCCUCAAAACAUGACGGGACCACCGCCGUUGAACCUCAACAUCUCGCAAAGCGUAUCCGCCGGUAUUGGUGGCCCGAUCGGUCAGAUGCCACCGAUGCCGAGCCCGCCGUCGCAGCCGCUCGGGCUGACUGUGAUGUCGUCCGAAAGCAGAAACGCCGAAAGGAUAGCGGAUGAGAGACUGUCUGCGAGCGAGCGGUCUCGAGACAGCAGAAUUCCCACAGACUCUCGUAUGAUGCCAGAACGCAUUCCGGAGCGGACAAACGAGAAUAACGAGCCGGAACGAUCGGAGCCGAGUAACCUGUUUCAACCGAUACAGGCCGGCGGAAUGCUGCCGAUGGAGAAGCCCGUCGGUCUCUAUAAUCUGGCCGGGACGCCGCCGAUGGAACCGCAGAACUUGAAGAUCAAGCAGGAGAUUAUACCGCCGGAACCGGAUCCUCUGCAGAGUUUGAAAGAGGUCAAGGUACCGGGUUUCCAGAGCUCUUCUUUCCCCGGCCCGAGCCUGGACAACAUCAAGAAGGAUCCGGACGGCACGAGCAAACCGCCGACUCCGAGCAAGCACUCCGUGCCGCCCGCUCAGACGGUACCAUCGAUACAACCGGUUGCGGCGUCGCCGACACCUACGCCGACACCGACGCCGAGUCUGCCUCCACCUCCCAGCUCAAUCCCACAGCCAGUCAUGCAUCCCGCGCAACAACCAAGUCCGCACAUGGCACAUCCCUUCCAUCCGCACCAUCCGUUGAUGCAUCACUCACUGUUCACCGCUAUGCACCCGUAUCAUCCUCAUGCCUAUCCAGGAUACGCGCCAGUGGGAGGAUAUCCCUCCUUCUCGCCGUAUCCCUAUGGCCCAGUGCCUCAUGCCAUUCCGCCGCCCUCGCCGCAGCGUAGUCAAGAGAGCAGUAGCACCAUGAUGACGGCGCAUCACGCCAGCACUAGCUCGAGCGUCACGAGCAGAGAGGAAGGCGAGAAUCUAAUCGCGAGCCACCAUCAUUCAUCCAGUAUGCAUCAGCAGCCAACCAAUUUACACCAUGACAAACUGCUGACUAUCUCCUCUCAUAGCUCCCACAGUCAUUCCUCGUCGCACAGUUCGCACAGUAGUCAGCGUAAAACGUCGCUCGUCUCCACGUGCCUGACAUCGUCCAGUUCCGCACACCAUCAUCAUCGUCCGCCACAGUCGCAGCAACCGCAGACCGUGCCGGAGCCAAAGAUCGAACAGGAUUUAGACCCGGAACCGGAGGAGUCCAUUAGUCCUCGCGGACCAUCACCAGAGCCUCGUAUCGAGGAUUCAGAAUGUCAUCGAUCGCAAUCGGCGAUCUUCCUUAGGCAUUGGAAUCGUGGUGAGAACAAUUCGUGUACGCGCACCGACUUGAUGUUCAAACCGGUGCCCGAUUCGAAGCUGGCGCGGAAACGCGAGGAACGCUCGCGCAAACAGGCGGAACGGGAGCGGGAGGAGCGCGACCGCGCCGCCGCCGCGGCGCAACAAGCCCGGAAGAUGACGACGCCCGAGAAACAGCCAGAAACGUGCAAACCGCCCAGUCGCGGUCCUCUCGAGCCUGUCGUUUCGCCUUACGACCGUUACGCAGCACCGCGUCCCGGUUCUUACGCGGACACCCCAGCACUCAGGCAACUGUCGGAGUACGCCAGACCACACGCCGCCUUCUCGCCCGCCAGACAUCCGGCCCCGACAGAUCCGAUGUUGCACUACAUCUACGGACGUGAGGCCGCGGCGGCACAACGGCUGGAGUUGGAGCAUUUGGAGCGCGAGAAGCGGGAACGCGAGAUACGCGAAUUACGCGAAAGAGAGUUGAAUGAUCGGUUAAAGGAAGAGCUGUUCAAGGGCACACCCAGACCGAUGCCGGCGCCGCCGGUCGAUCCGCACUGGCUGGAGAUACACCGUCGAUACGCCGCCGCCGGUCUGGCACCGGGUCCUUCAGGACCGCCUCAAGCCUUACACCAAUUCGGCCUCUACGGGGCUCCACCGGGUCCCAGUCAACUCGAGAGGGAACGACUCGAGCGACUAGGGAUUCCGACUGCAGCCGGCGGGGGGCCAGCGGGUGGAGCGGCUGGCCAUCCCGUGGCGGCUCAUCACCACGGCCAGCUGGAAGAACGGCUGGCUCUGGCCGCUGACCCGAUGGUCCGAUUGCAAAUGGCUGGCAUCUCGCCCGAAUAUCAUGCUCACACUCACGCGCAUACGCAUGCGCAUACGCACUUGCACUUACAUCCGGGACAGCAACAGGCCCAGCAACAGGCUCAGCAACAGCAGGAAGCCGCUGCGGCUGCGGCUGGAUUUCCUCUGCCGGCUGCAGCCAGCGCCAAUUACCCUCGUCCGGGUUUAAUGCCGCGCGAUCCCGCCUUGGCGCUUCACCCAGCGGAACUUCUAGGAAGACCCUAUGCGGACAUGGCGGCGCAUCACGAGCAAUUGCAACGGCACCUCAUGAUGGAACGCGAACGAUUCCCUCCGCACGCAUCCCUCGUGGCCCAUCACGAGGAAUACUUAAGUUUUGCAGAUGGAAUUAAUUUCCCUUUCCCUUUGCUCGAUCUCUACGUCAAGUAUCCAUCCAUGUUUUUAUGAAGCUUAAUGUGAAACGCAGCCGCCAUCCACUUUACACGGAAUGCAACACUCGAAUCGCGUGGAUGUAUAUGUAUGGGAGGCAGGGACGAUGUUGAGUGCGUAUUGUGUGGAUUCUAGCGCUCCUAUUACAAUCGUACUGCGAUAGAAAAAGACCGGGAAGGAAGGAGAAGAGAAAGAGAAAAGGCGGAAAAAGGAAGCAAGAAAGAAAGGAAUAGAGAAAGAUCUUUAUCCAUCGCACACAUGUGCGGCUCAUAUGCGUGUCGGCUGAAAGA